UACGGAGGGUGCGAGCGUUGUCCGGAAUCACUGGGCGUAAAGGGCGCGUAGGCGGCUCAUGAAGGCUGUGGUGAAAGUCCGGGGCUCAACCUCGGAUCGGCCGUGGCGACUCGUGGGCUGGAGCACUGUAGAGGCGGGUGGAAUUCCGGGUGUAGCGGUGGAAUGCGUAGAGAUCCGGAAGAACACCAGUGGCGAAGGCGGCCCGCUGGGCAGUGGCUGACGCUGAAGCGCGGACAGCGUGGGGAGCAAACAGG
rnacentral:rRNA from 1 species